UACGUAGGGUGCAGGCGUUAAUCGGAAUUACUGGGCGUAAAGCGUGCGCAGGCGGCUCCUUAAGUCAGAUGUGAAAUCCCCGGGCUUAAUCUGGGAACUGCGUUUGAAACUGGGGAGCUGGAGUGUAGAAGAGGGGGGUGGAAUUCCAGGUGUAGCAGUGAAAUGCGUAGAGAUCUGGAGGAACACCGAUGGCGAAGGCAGCCCCCUGGGCUAACACUGACGCUCAUGCACGAAAGCGUGGGGAGCAAACAGG
rnacentral:rRNA from 1 species